CAAAUUAGCCCAUCUCUGCCCUCGAUUUGGCCGCUCCAUUUCCUCUCCAAAUUGCUGGACUGACACGAAAAAGACCCACAAAGGAGUUCUAUUCUUAAGGGUUCCGUAGACCUUCAGGAACAGGAUUCCAUUAUCUAAGCUGAAGAAUGUCUGCCAUGGCUGAGUGGUGGUGUAGAAGAGAGAAACUGGGAAACAGAAUGACGGGCAAUACCCUGUCCAUUCAUUCCAUUUCCAUAUCUGAAAAAUUUGGCUCUAAAGAAAGUUUCUCUAGUUAAAUUGAAUGAGCUGAUUGAUCAAAAACUUUGUGGCUGGCAUUGGAGUGGAGGGGGGAGCCGCAGCAGGCAAUGAAAAGAUAUAGUAAAGCAAUAAUCGUGAAGGGGUCGCUCUCGAUCUAUAUGGAAAAUGGGACCCACCUGUUUGAUUUGUCACUGUGUGAGCGGGAAAACGUAGACCUAUGCGCCAUUCAAGCUAUAACCUGUUUGGUGAGAAUGCACCAUUUACUCUUGUGAGCCUAUAAUAAAUACAAAUGAUGUAUCGUUAUAAAUUUGUAGUGCAUAGUUUUCUUCAA